UACAGAGGGGGCUAGCGUUAUUCGGAAUUAUUGGGCGUAAAGGGCGCGUAGGCGGCCAUGCGUGUCUUCCGUGAAAUCCCUCGGCUUAACUGAGGACGUGCGGAAGAAACUGCAAGGCUCGAGUCCGGGGAGAGGGGGGUGGAAUUCCCAGUGUAGCGGUGAAAUGCGUAGAUAUUGGGAGGAACACCGGUGGCGAAGGCGGCCCCCUGGACCACAACUGGACGCUGAGGCGGCGAAAAGCUGAGGGGAGCCAAACAGGGAUUAAGAAAACCCCGGAGUACGUCCAGACCAAGA
rnacentral:rRNA from 1 species